rnacentral:misc_RNA from 2 species
AAACCUCGAACCCAAAGCGUCCUUCGAUCCGUCGGAGCUUUGUUUUCGGACCAUGGGAGCAUGCGGGCGGCGACGUCGGCUCUCCUCAAAAGCAUUAGCUGUGGGCGUCGAGCCUUGCGCGACACACGGCCUCGUUCGACGUCGUAAACGAUCGUCGUGGGCUGGAGGCGCGCGCGGACGGACUAGUCCCAUGCUUCGCAACCUUCUGCGGGACGACCGCACGUAACCAAG